rnacentral:rRNA from 1 species
GCAAGUCGAGCGGAAAGGCCCUUCGGGGUACUCGAGCGGCGAACGGGUGAGUAACACGUGAGCAACCUGCCCUAGGCUUUGGGAUAACCCCGGGAAACCGGGGCUAAUACCGAAUAUGACCUGGCCUCGCAUGAGGCUUGGUGGAAAGUUUUUCGGCCUGGGAUGGGCUCGCGGCCUAUCAGCUUGUUGGUGGGGUGAUGGCCUACCAAGGCGACGACGGGUAGCCGGCCUGAGAGGGCGACCGGCCACACUGGGACUGAGACACGGCCCAGACUCCUACGGGAGGCAGCAGUGGGGAAUAUUGCACAAUGGGCGGAAGCCUGAUGCAGCGACGCCGCGUGAGGGAUGACGGCCUUCGGGUUGUAAACCUCUUUCAGCAGGGACGAAGCGUAAGUGACGGUACCUGCAGAAGAAGCGCCGGCCAACUACGUGCCAGCAGCCGCGGUAAGACGUAGGGCGCGAGCGUUGUCCGGAUUUAUUGGGCGUAAAGAGCUCGUAGGCGGCUUGUCGCGUCGACCGUGAAAACUUGGGGCUCAACCCCAAGCCUGCGGUCGAUACGGGCAGGCUAGAGUUCGGUAGGGGAGACUGGAAUUCCUGGUGUAGCGGUGAAAUGCGCAGAUAUCAGGAGGAACACCGGUGGCGAAGGCGGGUCUCUGGGCCGAUACUGACGCUGAGGAGC